UACACAUCGCCCGUCACUCUCGCCUAGCUUAACUUAAGUAAGGGGAGAAAAGUCGUAACACAAUAGGCACACCGGAAGGUGUGCCUGGAAAAU
rnacentral:rRNA from 1 species